rnacentral:rRNA from 1 species
CCUACGGGAGGCAGCAGUGGGGAAUCUUGCGCAAUGCGCGAAAGCGUGACGCAGCAACACCGCGUGAGGGAAGACGGCCUUCGGGUUGUAAACCUCUUUCAGGAGGGACGAAGGUCGACCGGUGAAUAGCCGUGUCGACUGACGGUACCUCCAGAAGAAGCACCGGCUAACUACGUGCCAGCAGCCGCGGUAAUACGUAGGGUGCAAGCGUUGUCCGGAAUCAUUGGGCGUAAAGCGCGCGUAGGCGGCCCGAUAAGUCCGCUGUAAAAGUCAACGGCUCAACUGUUGAAAGCCGGUGGAUACUGUCGGGCUAGAGUACGGAAGAGGCAAGUGGAAUUCCUGGUGUAGCGGUGGAAUGCGCAGAUAUCAGGAGGAACACCUAUAGCGAAGGCAGCUUGCUGGGACGUUACUGACGCUAAGGCGCGAAAGCGUGGGGAGCGAACAGGAUUAGAUACCCUGGUAGUCCACGCCGUAAACGAUAGAGACUAGUGUGGUGGUGUCGCUCCUCCGUCGCCGUCGCUACGCGAGUAGUUCGUCCGCCGUCGGGAGGUACGGUCCGGUCCGACGGACGUUAAACGUUAAAGGUUAAAGUUAGUACGGCGUUGAGACGUUCGCCGACGGACGACCGACCGAGGGAGGAGG